UGUCAAAUCAAAGUUGUAUUCAUAUUAAAAAAUAAGCCUUUCAAAUAGGCUUUGAAAGAAACAAAGUAAACCCUAAAUACCCUAGGUAAAACAGGCCACACAAUAAAAAGUUCUAUGGUGGCCGAAAUUCUCACUCCUUUUCUAAUCUAAUUUGGAUUAAUUAAUUCCUUUAUUUUGAAUUAGGAAUUAAUUAAUUUACAAUGAAAAUAAUAAAAUAAUAACUUUCCUAAACUUAUUUUUCCAGAAAAUAAACAAAUAAAAACUAAAAAGUAAUGGUAAUUGCCUAAAACAAAAAGUAGAAUCAAAUUAGGAAACUAUAAUACUAGCUUUUUGACUAAGUUGACUUUGACCAAUCUUUGACCAAAUUGAGCUCCAAAUCAGCUUCUAGAUGCUUUGUAGGAUACCAAAUAAACUGAAUAUGAAGGCCCGCACGUUGCCCAUGCUUGGAAAAAUAAGAAAAGGCUAAUACAGUAAAAUACAAUAAAACCAGCAAGCAAUACAGCAAAUUCGGCCAAAUUGUUGAAGCUGUCCGUACAAGCCCUUUUUGAUUUCAUUUGAGGCUGCUUUAACUUGAUUCCAUGGCCUCUUAGGCAUAUGUAUUGAACCCAUAAAGCAUUGGAACCAUUUCAUGCUUCUCGGACUCCAAAAAUGUACCAAAACCGUCACCCGGGUCCGUAUCGGCUUCCCCCACUUGGAUGCUUAGAAUAGGCUUUGUAUCUUCAAGUAUGGACAAGCUAUGUUGAGAUUGAUUACCCCCUAUAUAAAUACUUCCAGUUUGUCCUUAAAUCUCUUAAUUUGAGCUCUUGUGAUUGGCCUAGUCUUCAUCCGUGUCGAGUCAGCACCCCAGCGGGUUAUCGGUUGAGCGGGCUCGGGCGGAAUCACAUCAUCACGUUUUUAAAUUCCAUUCCCCUAGGUCCAGGUUAGGAGUCGUUGAUCAUCCGAGGCGAACUCGAAGUCUCAGUUCAUUGCCGAAAGUCUAAAAAUCAUUUCCUUCCUUUUUCCUCUUCAUCUUGUAUUGCUUCCUUAUCUGUCAUUGUAUUAAUUCCACAUUUAUUUGUAUAAUGCUCGGUAUACUGUAUUGAACUUUUAGUUAUUAAUUAUGCACUGAUUUAAUGUUAUUCAUUUGGAAUGCUGCAAAUUUGUGGAAUUAUAUUGUAGUAACAUGGGAGGAAUAAGGGGAUGUUUAUAGAAGUGUGUUUCAGUGCAGGAAAUUUAUGGUAAGUUCAACGCUUAAGGGAGAUUCUGCCGGAUUUUUCAUUGGGGGAUUCGGUAGGGUUUCCCUGGGAUCAGGGCUUGUCUAGGGUUCCGAUGAGGAAUUUUGGACGGGUCUUGACAGAAGCACCGGCAAUAGCAAUGGUAGACGAACCAGAAGCCCUAAAAACUUAAAGGGUUCCUUCGUAAGGUUCAUCCACAUAGGGUGAGUCAGGGCCUAAGAUUAGGCCAAAAGGCAUAGUCAAUGGACAAUAGAUGAAUAUUCCUGUACUAACCCUUGUUGGCCCUGAGGGACAGACGAGGCUAGGUUAGCCGAAAGAUGGUUAUUGGUUUAAGGACACAAGGUGCCACUGCUUUUUGACGGUAAUAAGGGGUAGAGAAAAUGCCCUGAGCCAAUGUUCAAGUACCAGGCGCUACAAUGCUGAAGUAACCCAUGCCAUACUCCUAGGAAAAGCUCAAAAGACCCUUAACAAAAUGGUACCAGUACCCGAAACUGACACAGGUGGGUAGGUAGAGAAUACCUAAGGGUGUGAGACAACUUUCUCUAAGGAACUGUGACCAGGCCGGGUGACUUUUUACCAAAACGUAGGUCUCCGGAAAGUCAUCAGACCAUGUAUAGGGGCUAACACCUGCCCAGUACCGAAAGAUCAAGGAAGUUGGUAACCUAAUGACAGGGGAGGCGGUGAUUAAAGCCCUGGUGAACGAUGGUCGUAACUAUAACAGUACUAAGGUAGCGAAAUUCCUUUUCGGGUAAGUUUUGACCCCCACGAAAGGUGUAACGAUCUAGGCACUGUCUCAGAGAGAGGCUCGGGCAAAUACACAUGUCUAUCAAGAUGCAGACUACCUGCACCUUGAUAGAAAGACACUAUGAAUCUUCACUGUUCCCUAGGAUAGGCUUUGGGCCUUUCCAGUGUAGCUUAGGUGGAGGGCGAAGAAGGCCUCCUUCCGAUGGGCCCAAGGCAUCAGUGAGAUACCACUCUGGCAGAGCUAGAAUUCUAACCUUGUGUAAAGACCUACGGGCCAAGGUACAAACCUAGGUAGACAGUUUCUAUGGGGCGUAUGCCUCUUAAAAGGUAACGGAGGCAUGCAAAGGUUUCUUCAGGCCAGACGGAGAUUAGCCUUUGAGUGCAAAGGCAAAAGGGAGCUUGACUGCAAGACCCACUUGUAUAGCAGGGACAAAAGUUGGCUUUAGUAAUCCGACAGUGCCCAGUGAAAGGGCGAUUGCUCAACAGAUAAAAGUUACUCUAGCGAUAACAGGCUGAUCUUCAAUAAGAGCUCACAUCAAUAGAAAGGUUUGGCACCUCGAUGUCGGCUGUUCGCCACCUAGGAUUGCAAUAUGUUCUAAGGGUUGGGCUGUUUGCCCAUUAAAGCAGUACGUGAGCUAGGUUCAAAACAUCAUGGGACAUUUUGGUCCAUAUCCGGUGUGGGCAUUAGAGCAUUAAAAGGGUUUUUCCUUAGCACGAGAGGACUAGGAAGGACGCACAUCUAGUGUAGAAGUUAUCUUGCCCACAGUAAAUGCUGGGUAGCCAAGUGCGGAGUGGAUAACUGCUGAAAGCAUCUAAGUAGUAAGCCCACACCAAGAUGAGUGUCUCCUAUUCUAACUUUCCUAGAGCUUCCAGUAGCACAACCAAGACAGCGAUGGGUUUUUUGCCCUUGUGGGGGUAGAGCGACAGAAGUUUUGAGAAUUCGAGAGUAGGUCAUGGCAAGACGAGCCAUUUAUCAUUACGAUAGGUGUUAAGUGGAGAUGCAGUGAUGUAUGCAAUUGAGGCAUCCUAACAAACCAGUAGAGUUGAAC
rnacentral:rRNA from 1 species